UUGUUUGCUAAUCAGUUGAUUCAGAGAAGAUAGGUCAGGUUCAAAAUUCCGAACAAUUUGAAAGGUGAAGCUUUCGAGAAAGAGUGCAUAGUUUAUCAUGUUUGAAAGGAGUUUUGAAAGGUGAAGCUCAAAAUAGUUUUGUUUAAGGCCUCUGCAUCUUCUAAAGCUGAGAUUUGUCAGAUGCAGCGCAGGAACUUCUCUUGAACUCUGUGCGCUGGGUUUCGAUAGCCCGGUUGUCUCAAGUUCGAGUCUCGAGGGUUUGAGGGGUAUGCCCGGUGUGCUCUCAUUCUAGGUUAGCUUAGUUGCCAUUAUAUGUUUUUGUACCUAUAACUCUGGUAAUGGCGAGGCUUUGAAAAUGUUCAUGUUUACCUGAAAUUUUAAUGGCGGAGAGAACAUGAGCCAAUAUCUUGCAGUGAAGGUUGGAGACUUGAAGAAAUGGAAGAUAAGAUUCCAAGGAAGGACACAAUCUUUGAGCAGUUGGAUAACAAUAUUUACAACUUAAUGUCUAGAAUUCACAUUUUUAAGGAACUCGAGGAAAUGUAGAGCAAAGAUGAAGGAUAGGCUUGAAUGUACCACACAAACAUUAGGCCACAACCUUCCGAUACGCUUGUAUGUUUGUUUGAAUUUCAGAGGGGUGGAGUAAGUAUUUGAGAAUAUUUUUCGCUUGAGCCCUCUGCAGCUCUUAUAAGAUCCAUCAGAUGUAUUGUAGGAUCUCUGUUUGAUAGCCCCGUGGCCUCAACUUCCAGUAUCGAGCUCUUAAACUUUAGGGUUUGGUGGGGCAAAGUGGGGAUUCUGUUUAUGGGCUUUUGUGGGAUCUGUUCUGAUGCAAUUCUUGCUUCAUUCAGUUAUUUUUUGGUACAAGUAUUGUUAAUUUAGGGUCGGUGUGCUCCCACUCCAGAUGUGAAGGUUUUUCCCCUUAGCUAUGUUAUUUUUCUGUCUUCAAUUCUUGGAUCUGGUGAGGUUUUAAAAAUGCUUGUCUUUGCAGGAAAUGGCAGGCGAUAGAACAGUUAGCGAAGACACUGCGGACCAUAGAAAGCUAAGAAUCUUGCCAAUGAAGGAAAUAAAAAACUUCAUGUUGUUCCUAGGCUUGAUCGUACCAUAGGAUCAUGAGAACCAGAUAAUACGCAGAUUUAAACUUGGGUUACACUCUUGUAAUUCAGGCUUCCUUAUCCUGUGAAACCAACCUUCAUACAUGUUUACAUGCUUGUGUGGGGAGUAUGAGUUGCCUUCUAUUGUGAUACAGUUUUAAAUCUAGGCCAAACUCUUAUGAUAAUAGCCACAUGUUCACUAGGGUUAUGGGCUGCAUUCUUGUGGCGAGGUUCAGUUUGAACCUAAGUUGCAUCUUUACAAUUGUUACUCAUUUUCAUUACACUACAAUCUUAUGGACAGUGUUUUAUGCUAUUGAAACUUUAUUUAAUUU